UUGUAGUAUCCGUAUCUCUACUAGAAGUCUGACAGUGAUGUUGUAGCGACAGCGAUAGUCGACUGGCGGCGAUAGUGAACGCGACGGCGACGGCGACGUUAUCAUAUUAUUAUCGCCGCGAGAUUUUCGUUUCUCGUGUUGGCACCACCCGUCGCCGGGGUCCGCCAGAUGCCGUGAGCUCCGGAUGAUGGCGGCGGCUAAUCCUGCCGUAUUCCUAUAGUAUAUUAUUAUUUUUAUAAUCAAUGGUAGUGGGUACAGGUAUUAUUAAUACCAACUAUUCUUUUGUUUUCGAUAUAUUUUGUUAUUGUUUUCCAUUUUUUGAGCAGUGGCGUAGUUGUACUUGGCACCGAAAAGAUUAGUACGCAAUUAGAUUUUUCUGAAACUAAGUGAACAAAAAAAUAAUAGGCCACAAAUAGGUAUAAACGGACAGUUCGUUAAACCGGAUAAGUUGUAACACAAACUCGCAAAUUUCGUUUGAUCAGGUUAUUUUCAUAAAAUAUUUCGAUACUUUCAAGUUUCAAGCUCAUCGGAGUGAGAUGAUUAGAUAAAGAUGGAUGAAGAUAGCUGUUUCUUCGGCGAUGGCGGCACUCUAGCUACGUUUCACCGGAAGAGUAGAUGUUUACGGUUCUGGCUGUAUUCUGGAGCGUUUCCUCAUGGGCGUCGCAGUUCACACACGUCACGGAUUCCGCCGAAGGAGUCGAUAAUUAAAACUGAACUUUUGGAUUGGAGAUAUGAAGACGCGCCCUGCAUUUUCCACAGCUCUGACACUAGACAAUAUUAUACACUCGAAGGGAACGCGUUUCGCCGGAAGAAUAAAUAAUUACAUCAUAAAGAUACUAAUAUUGUAUACUAGAUAAGUUUCAAUUAGCGAGAUGUAGAGAUAGAUGGAGAUGGAGCGAGAUGUAGACGGAUGAAGAUAGCUGUUUCUUCGACGACAGCGUGUGCUGCAGUACAGCUAGGUUUCACUGGAAGAGUCGAUGUUUAUGCAAAUGGUUUUCGUCAGUGAACAUUUUCAAACUGGGAAUAAUAUAUCAUAAGCAGAUUGAAAUGUGUGAACGUUUCAGUGUUUCAAAGACUAAGUUUCGUAGCAGAUUUUGAUUCCGUCACGGGGUAUGUAUUUUCUUAUUUCUCAGUAGGUUUUUUUUAUUAUAGUUAAUUGAUCAGGGGAUGUAUUGCCCGAAAAUUUUCAAUAUUUGUAUUGUAACUAUACUGGUAUAACCUUAUUCGGGCUAUCAAUAAAGUCGUGUUCAAAAUUAGAAAAUUGGUGAGGUAUGAUAUUUUUUUAAGCAAUUCUUUCGAGUAGGGAAUUCGCUCAAUGUUUUUUAAAUAUUUUCACCGAUAAUCAAGUACGAUGACUUGUAGGUAACUAUAGACUGAGUGAAUAGGAAUUAGGAGGUGUGUGAUAUGGUGAAGAUAAGGAAAUGGGUCAACAGGAUUUCAGAAUGUUUGGUGUAUGAAAGGGAAAGUUGAAAAAGAAAUGUAAAGUUAGGGUAGGUAAGUGGAAUGAGAGUAGCAGAUAUGAGAAUAAUAAGUAAGGUGUUAAGGUACAAAGGAGAUAGAAUAAGAAAUUAAUUAAUUAAGGGUAGUGUAGGGUAGUGUACAUAUUGUAGUGAGAACAAGAGAGAAUAGGUUUAGGUGGUUCGGUCACUGUAUGAUAAGAGAUAGUGAGAGUGGCUAUAGAAGUUAAUUUAACGGAGAAAUGAUGGGCGAGAAGACUGAAGAAGAGAUGGAUAGACAGAAUACCGAUCAUAUGGAGGUGUGGAAUGAGAGUGGCUGAACCUGUAUAUAGCUGUGAGAGACGGGGGAAGAAAAAGUGUAAAGGUAGAAUAGUUAUGUUAACAAUGCCGAAUACGUAGGAAAAGAUCUUGAAUUGCAAAGGCCCUAUUGACUCUAUGGCUUCAACUAACCAUAGGUUUACCUAACUAACCUUCUUAUGACUCAUUAGGACACUUUGAAUAAAAAGAUCCUGAGUUGCAACCUGCAAACUUAAGUGUUUGAUUAUCAAGUUGAUCCUUUGAUUUGCUGACACCUUAAUCCUUGUUAUGGAUGAAGCCCAUAGAUAAUAAAGAUAUGGAUAGUCCACAGGGGAAAGCAAUUGAGGCUCCUUUAUAUUGAUAGUCGAUGGUCGGUACUCGAUAUAAGUAUACUUUAUUUGGCCUCAAUUUAUUGUUCCCCUCGAAGACCGCUGAUAAGACCACGAUAUGAUGGAGCCAUACCCAGCUCACUCGUGUAAACUGGUUGCCGGUUGGGAUGUCAGCGCACUAUUUGUUUUCCAUCUUUGACCCACGUGUAGCAUACCAAAUGUACGAUUAAGAAAACACUAAAAUGAUUGGGUCAGAGAGAGAAAUAAAUAGUGCGCUAAAAAUCUGACAUCCUCUUAGUGCUAUCAAGUUGAAGAAGCAGUUGAUUGUUGACAGUUUGACAUUUGAAGAGCGAAUGUGUCAAACGUUCUAUGUGCCAAAAACCAAAAUGUUCAGGAAACACAAAAAACAAUACAACAUUCAAUAUAAUAUAUUAUAAUAUUGUGUAAAAAUAUAUGUUAUAUAUUAACAUAACAUUUAUAGCCUAGUUAAGUUCAAUUAUUAUAAUUAUCAUUUAAUAUUAGUUAAAAUUAAACAUUUGCUAAUGACAGUUCCAAGUGCCAAAUCAUAUAAUAUUAAAACUCUAAGUGCCAAAUGGUGUGAUUAUUGUUCCAAGUAACAAUAUUUUAUUGGAAAUAACAGAGAAUUAUUCUUUAUUAUAUUAAUAUAACAAAAUUACGACUUUAACGUAAAAUAAACAUAUUUUCUUCAUUAGGUCAUUGAAAAUUUAAGAAACAUUAUCUUUUUAAGUAUUACAUAUUGAUAAAUAAAAUAACAAACUGAAUAAAAAUUUAAAAAAAACUCUUGAUUAAACUUUAUAUCGACUUGAUACAUUUUAGAACGUAAAAUAAACAUAUUUCCUUCACUUCAGAAUAUAACAAAUAAUAGACAUAAUAAAUUAACAAAUCUAAUUGAAAUUUAUGGGCACAUAGAACAUAUUAUGGCACAAGGCACAUAGAACGCACAUGUGACAAUAGGCAUACCACAUGGAACGGACGCCAUCUAUGAACGCAAUUUUAAACUAGUAAUAAAUCGAAUUGGCACUUGGAACCCAUACAGGAUUAUUGCCUUUGGCACAUAGAACAUAAAUCAGACAUAAAACAAUUUUUCAUUUUUUUGGCACAUAGAACGUUGGACACAUUUGCUCUUGUUAAAUUUUAACAUUAACUGUGGUAGGUAUUAUGAUUGGAAGUAAAAGUAAUUAGCAGGGCUGUGAAUUUAAUGCAAUGAAAAAGUGUUAAAUAUUUGCCUGCAUGUAUGCACUAAAAACAGGCAAAUAUAUGCACUGAAAUAUUAAAAAAUAUGCACUUAAAAUUCAAAAAAAUACGUUUUUAUUAAAAUUUUUUUAAAUUAAUAAAUUAUAAUACAAAUUGGUUUACAAAAAAAAUUCUUUAUUUACACACUUGGUAGGUAGGUAUGUAGGUAGGUAACGGAUGAACCGAAAAUAUAAAAACAUUUUAAGAAAAUAAGCUUAAAUACGAAGAAAUCAUGAAAACAUGCAAUUAUAUUAACUAACCCAAAAAAAAAACGCAUAUUGGUAACGGUGUUGUAAUAAUAGGGAUCUUCCAAAAAAAAUACGUACUAAUAGUUCAAACAAAUCAUAAAAGCCAACUGUAAUAAAUAUUAAUUCAUGAAAAAGUAUAUUAAAAAGCAUUAUUAUUAUUAUAAAUGAAACAAAACUAUGAACUAUGGACCGCGACAUAAUAUAGGUAUUUCUAUAUUUUUAGCUCCAUAAUUUCUGUUAAAAUAUUAGGAAAAUGUAUUAAGUACCGUAUAAGUGCUAAAUUUGAGCUAUUACUUAAAAUAUUAUAUUCAUAACAAAUUAUCAUAGAAGGUUAGGUACUGUUAUUCCACAUACGUAUUAGAGUUUAAUAUAACUACAACAUUCUAGUAGAGUCGGAUAAAAUUUGGUUCCACGACUUUGAUCAUACAAACUUUAAAUACUAAACUAUGGGUCUGAAAUUUAGUUUAUAUAGAUCUAAAUAAUCCACAACAUAUAUUGCUUCAAAAUAUAAAAAUAAAAUGUCUUGUAUUGUAGUAGGUAGGUAACUUUCAAAAAAAAAACUAAAAAAAAUCAUACUUGAAAUCUAUGUAGGUAUAAUAUACGUAUAUUGCAAUAAAUGUUCAAAUGUUUACUAUAGUACAUUAUAAAAAAUUAACUUAAGUUCAAUAUAAUACAUUAUAACAGGUGUUCAAAUAAACAUUUCAUACCAACAAUUUUGUUAAUUCACACAGUCUCUCUUCAAUUUUAAAUUUUUCUUCAAAUUAUCUACAAAAUAUAAAUGUUUAGUAAAUUGGAAGACUUGAUUAAGUAAUUAAUCAUUUAUCUAAAAGAGAUGUGCCGGGUCGCCACAUUACUAUAUCGAGGGGCCAUGGUGCAAGUGUCGUCCAUAAAUAUCAUAACAUAUAUUGUAUUAGUUACAAACUCUUGAAUCAAGAGUUAUGUUUGAGGAUUUGAUUAAUUUCCUAAAAGGAAAUGCCUCAAGGUUGCCUCAGUAAGUUUAGGAAAUAGAGAAGGUUCUUAUAUCAUAUAGUUUUAUCAAAGUAUGAUUGGGUUAGCCACAGUCUUGUGUAAAUUAUAUUGUCUUAUGUUUUCCCAAUCUAAUAAUACAAAAUACCGAAAAUUAAUGAAAUCACAAAUAUUAGUACAAUAGAGAGACUGUGCAUUGAUUUACAAAUUUGUCUUAAAUUUACUUUUUGCAUAGAGAAUAAUAUGAAGGUGGGCUGGGCUUAGAUGCUGAUAAAUCAUCAAUAGAGACUCGUUGAUCGCUUUUAUGUGCUUCAAAUUGU